rnacentral:rRNA from 1 species
UACAGGGGGGGCAAGCGUUAUCCGGAUUCACUGGGUUUAAAGGGUGUGUAGGCGGGCUGUUAAGUCAGUGGUGAAAUCUCCGGGCUCAACCCGGAAACUGCCAUUGAUACUAUCAGUCUUGAAUUCUGUUGAGGUAGGCGGAAUAUAUCAUGUAGCGGUGAAAUGCUUAGAUAUGAUAUAGAACACCGAUUGCGAAGGCAGCUUACUAAACAGAUAUUGACGCUGAGGCACGAAAGCGUGGGGAUCAAAC